rnacentral:snRNA from 1 species
AUGCUCACUUCAGUAGCUCAUAUACUAAAAUUGGAAUGCCAUAGAGAAGACGAGCAUGGCCUUGUGCAAGGAUGACACAAAAAUUCAUGAAGCAUUCCAUGUUUUU